rnacentral:miRNA from 1 species
CCUCCGCAGGGCACGGGGAGCCUUCCUCCCCGUGCCCUGCGGAGGCUUC